AUAAAUGCAAUGAAGAGGAAGAGUAGACAAAACUUGUUUUUUUAGAAAGCCGAUGAGGAUGGAAAUUCGGUAAAUAAGCUGUUGAAGGAAGCCUUGGAGCAUAAGCUGAAAGAAUAAGUAAGCUUUAGGUUGCCCAACCUUAACGGGUUUGAGAGGAUGCAAAUAGCAGAUGGCAUUGCAUCAAUUUAGGUGGUACCACGGAAGUCAGACCUUUCGUCCUAGUG
rnacentral:ncRNA from 1 species